GUAGGGGCAAGCGUUGUCCGGAAUUAUUGGGCGUAAAGAGUACGUAGGCGGUCUGGUAAGCGCAAGGUGAAAGGCAUAGGCUCAACCAAUGUCAGCCUUGCGAACUGUCAGACUUGAGUGCAGGAGGGGAAAGUGGAAUUCCUAGUGUAGCGGUGAAAUGCGUAGAUAUUAGGAGGAACACCAGUGGCGAAGGCGACUUUCUGGACUGUAACUGACGCUGUGGUACGAAAGCGUGGGGAGCAAACAGGAUUAGAUACCCUGGUAGUCCACGCCGUAAACGAUGAGCACUAGGUGUCGGGGCCGCAGGGCUUCGGUGCCGCAGUUAACGCAUUAAGUGCUCCGCCUGAGGAGUACGCACGCAAGUGUG
rnacentral:rRNA from 1 species